AUUGAACGCUGGCGGAAUGCUUUACACAUGCAAGUCGAGCGGCAGCGCGGCCUUCGGGCUGGCGGCGAGCGGCGAACGGGUGAGUAAUGCAUCGGAACAUGCCCAGUCGUGGGGGAUAACACUUCGAAAGAAGUGCUAAUACCGUAUACGUCCUGAGGGGGAAAGCGGGGGAUCGCAAGACCUCGCGCGAUUGGAGUGGCCGAUGUCAGAUUAGCUAGUUGGUGGGGUAAAGGCCUACCAAGGCGACGAUCUGUAGCUGGUCUGAGAGGAUGAUCAGCCACACUGGGACUGAGACACGGCCCAGACUCCUACGGAGGCAGCAGUGGGGAAUUUUGGACAAUGGGGGCAACCCUGAUCCAGCCAUUCCGCGUGAGUGAAGAAGGCCUUCGGGUUGUAAAGCUCUUUCGGCAGGAACGAAACGGUGGGCUCUAACAUAGUCCGCUAAUGACGGUACCUGAAGAAGAAGCACCGGCUAACUACGUG
rnacentral:rRNA from 1 species